GUCCACCCAGCAGGUCUCCUGGGCAACCCACCCUGACGUCACUGGCAGCUCUGGCGGCUGGCCCAGGAGCUGAAGCAGCUGGUGGCCAGAUCAUGUUUCCAGGUGAACCCCCUCCCCCACUCCAGCUCCCCACCCCCUACCCGGGUGGUGUGGGUGGGACAGUGGGGGAGAAAUAGAGCAGGGCUCAGAGUUGAGGAGCUGCUGGGAAUGGCGUACGUGGCGGGCGGCCUGAAACAGGGCCAGCAUCUGUCCUAGAUAAGGCAGCGGGUGGCCUACUUGAGCCUGUGCUGGAGCUCCCCGGUGGGCACCUCUCCCAGGCUCUGGGGAUCCUGAGACGUUUCCUGGAAAGCAGGCUCCUCAACUUGCUGUGUGAUGGACAUAUGACAACUGAGGGGAAAUGUCCCUCCCAGGGCUCAAUUUCUCCAGCUGUAAAAUGGAACUGCGAAUUGGGCCAACCUGCAGGCAGGCUAACAGGCAGAAGCAAUGAGAGCUUAUUAAACUGCUUCGAAAGUAAAA